AACGAAGGGGACUAGUGUUGUUCGGCAUUACUGGGCGUAAAGCGCACGUAGGCGGAUUUGUCAGUCAGGGGUGAAAUCCCGGGGCUCAACCUCGGAACUGCCUUUGAUACUGCGAGUCUCGAGCACGAAAGUGAUGAGUGGAAUUCCUAGUGUAGAGGUGAAAUUCGUAGAUAUUAGGAAGAGCACCAGUGGCGAAGGCGGAUCACUGGUCCGUUGCUGACGCUGAGGUGCGAAAGCGUGGGGAGCAAACAAG
rnacentral:rRNA from 1 species